rnacentral:tRNA from 1 species
CCAAACAUGAAGACUAACCCCUUCCUUUGUAU